ACCCACUACAAUCUCGGAGAAGUUCGCGCCAGGAAGGGCAUCCAACUAUAGAAACCUUGUCAGAUCAGAUUGGAGCCCGGUACAGCCUCCCAGCCUGUCAGUUCUCAGUCAAGCCGUCCAACCCAUACCAGCAUGGAAAGUGGACGUUAAACGAUGAUGAUGAUAUACAUACACACA